ensembl:lncRNA
AGGGCAGAGAAGGGGGUGAGCGCCUACUCCAAUUACGGCAGGGGGACCAAACGGCUGUCUAGUACGCAGUACACCUUCCGGACAGUAACAGCAUCCAGUGGAUGGAAUGAGCCGGCGCUACGUACUCUAUUCAGAAGCGGUCUGCGAGAGGAGGUCUAGACGGAACUGGUCUGUCGUGACAACAACCUCUCCAUGGAUGCAUUCAUUGCGAUGGCCAUCUGCCUGGAUAACCUACUUCGGGAGAGUCAGUACUCUCAUCGCUUCUCUCCCUUCCUCAGUGAACACUCUGGAUCAGAGCCUAAACCCAUGGAGGUAAGUCACACGCUUUCCCGCGGCAGAGAGACACAGAUGGAGACAGCUGGGGCUCUGUCUUUAUUGUGGUCAAGGAAGGGCACCAGCUCCAGUAGUGUCCAGUACUUCCCAACCCGGGAUCCACGAGAGCAGAGGGAUGGUCAAGUGAUCUUCCACCUCCUGGGGCAGGACCCUCGAUAAUCGGCCACUAGGACCCAGGCCAUGGAGGAGCACAUCCAAGAGGCACUCCAACAAGGUUUCAUCCGCACGUCCACUUCUCCUGCGUCGGCUGGUUUCUUCUUCGUGCCUAAGAAGGAUGGAGGGUUACUUCCACGUCCAUGUAUUGAUUACAGAGGACUAAAUUAAAUCACCACUAAGUACCGUUACCUUCCCUCGUUGGUGCCGGCAGCCAUCUAACAGCUCCACGGGCCCGGUUCUUUACCAAACUGGACCUGCGUCCGGGAGGGGGAUGAAUGAAAGACAGCUUUUAGCACAAUGUCUGGUCACUACGAAUACCUGGUGAUGCCAUUUGGCUUAGCCAAUGCUCCAUCAGUUUUCCCGGAAUUUGGAGGAUCACAUCGCUCACAUUUGAGCAGUCCUGGAAUGCCUUGUGGUUAAUCACCUGUUCGUCAAGGCUGAGAAGUUCCAGUUUUAUCAGAAAGCUGUCUCCUUCCUAGGCUACCAAAUCAGUGCGCAGGGAGUGAGGAUGGACGUCAAGAAAGUGGAUGCGGCCGGUCCCAACCACAAUAAAGGGGUUACUAUGUUUUAUUUGGAGCCCGCACCCAUUAACUCCUGUUCCAUAUGUGCCCAAACCAAAUCCCCCUAUAAUGCUCCAGCAGGGAAACACCUUCCCCUUCCUGUGCCUCCUCAUCCCUGGUCUCAUCUAUCCACUGACUUUGUUACUGAUCUCCCCACCUCUGACGGUUUCACCACCAUUUUGGUGGUUGUGGAUAGAUUUUCCAAAUUCCGUCGUUGUAUCCCUCUCUGGACUCCCUACUGUUCUCUAGGUCGCAGAGGCACUAUUCCAGCAGGUCUUCUGGUAUUAUGGCCUUCCAGAGGACAUCGUCACUGACCGUGGCCCCCAAUUCACAUCAUGGGUAUGGAGAGCCUUUAUGGAGAAGCUCGGGGUCACGGUCAGCCUCACUUCCGGGUAUAGGCCUCAGUCCAACGGGCAGGUGGAGAGGAUGAAACAGGAGCUGGGGAGGUUCCUGAGGAGUCACUGUUAGGACCGGCAGGGAGAAUGGGCCCGAUUCCUUCCAUUCCACAGGCCACAAUCAACAGCCUGAUCAACUCUAUGCGAAGGAGAUGUGUCGCGCUGCAUGAGGCAUAUGGUGGUCACCCACUGGUUUUCUGAUCCACACCCCUUUUUUUUAAGGUAUCUGUGACCAACAGAUGCAUAUUUGUAUUCCUAGUCAGAUGAAAUCCAUAGAUUAGGGCCUAAUGAAUUUAUUUCAAUUGACUGAUUACCUUAAAUGAAAUUUAACUCAUUAAAAUAUUUGAAAUUCGUG